AGUGAACGCUGGCGGUAGGCCUAACACAUGCAAGUCGAACGGCACCACUUUAAUAGCUUGCUUUUACGGGUGUCGUUUUGUGGCCGGGUGAGGAAUACAUCGGUAUCUACUUUUUCGUGGGGGUUAACGUAGGGAAACUUACGCUAAUACCGCAUCCGACCUACGGUUGAAAGACGGCAUUCUUCGGUCCUUGCGCGAUUGCAUGAGCCGAUGUCGGUUUAGCUAGUUGGCGGUGUAAAGGCCCACCGAGGCGACGAUCCGUAGCCGGUCUGAGAGGAAGGUCAGACAGACUGGAACUGAGACACGGUCCAGACUCCCACGGGAGGCAGCAGUGGGAAAUAUUAGAGAAUGGGGGCAAGCCUGAUACAGCCAUACCGCGUAGGUGAAGAAGGACUGAGGGUUGUAAAGCCCUUUUGUUGGGAAAGAAAAGAAGCAGGUUAAGAAGGCGAUGUUAUGACGGUACCCAAAGAAGAAGCACCGGCUAAAUUCGUG
rnacentral:rRNA from 1 species